rnacentral:rRNA from 1 species
UGGGGAAUAUUGCACAAUGGGCGAAAGCCUGAUGCAGCAACGCCGCGUGAAGGAUGAAGGCCUUUGGGUCGUAAACUUCUGUCCUUGGGGAAGAAAAAAAUGACGGUACCCCUGGAGGAAGUCCCGGCUAACUACGUGCCAGCAGCCGCGGUAAUACGUAGGGGGCGAGCGUUAUCCGGAAUUAUUGGGCGUAAAGAGUACGUAGGUGGUUUUUUAAGCGCAGGGUUUAAGGCGAUGGCUCAACUGUCGUUCGCCCUGUGAACUGGAAGACUUGAGUACAGGAGAGGAAAGCGGAAUUCCUAGUGUAGCGGUGAAAUGCAUAGAUAUUAGGAGGAACACCAGUGGCGAAGGCGGCUUUCUGGACUGUAACUGACACUGAGGUACGAAAGCGUGGGGAGCAAACAG